CUGAAACAGAAGUAUGAACUUCUACUGCAUCACUUGCCACGAGACCCUCGAUUUGGAAUAUCCUCCAAAAUUUUGGAUGACAGUGAAACUUUGGCAACCAUUGUUGGUUGGGCCUUCCUUCUUACUAUGAACAAUUCAAGAGAGACAGAUCAAACAUCCUCUCUUUCAUCAAACAAUUUGAUAGCAAGUCGGGACCAAAAGCUGACCAAAUUCGAGGUCUUCAUCUGAAAGCAAAUCUUUUAAGCAUACGGAAUGAAGUCUUCAUUAAAAGAGAUGGGAGAAUUCCUGAAGCCUUGCUGGAUAUACCAAGGGAUUCAGAAGAAGUAGAUUUUGAUCUCCACCCAAGCACAUCUCAAGCCAAGAGAGCUCCUCCAAAAGCAAAUAAGAGAAGGUCGAAUGAAAAAGUCGAACCAAAAGUGAAAUCUCCUCGACUCAAUUCGAGAGACAGAGCUCCAACUCAUGAUAGUAAGUUUUGCUAUGUAUGUGAUUACAUGAUGAUUAGAUCUCAUCAUUCAAACAAUCUCAACAUUUCUUAAUCGAAGAUAUUAUUAGUGAUC
rnacentral:lncRNA from 1 species